rnacentral:rRNA from 1 species
GGUGAACGCUGGCGGCGUGCUUAAGACAUGCAAGUCGAACGGCAGUCUUCGGACUGUAGUGGCGCACGGGUGAGUAACGCGUAACUGACCUACCCCACAGUCGCGGAUAACGAUUCGAAAGAAUCGCUAAUACGUGAUGUGCUGUCAGAUUGUGUUCUGCCAGUAAAGAUUGAUUGCUUUGGGAUGGGGUUGCGUUCCAUCAGCUAGUUGGUGGGGUAAAGGCCCACCAAGGCGACGACGGAUAGCCGGCCUGAGAGGGUGGCCGGCCACAGGGGCACUGAGACACGGGUCCCACUCCUACAGGAGGCAGCAGUCAGGAAUCUUCCACAAUGGGCGAAAGCCUGAUGGAGCGACGCCGCGUGAGGGAUGAAGGUCUUCGGAUCGUAAACCUCUGAAUCAGGGACGAAAGACACUUCGGUGGGAUGACGGUACCUGAGUAAUAGCACCGGCUAACUCCGUGCCAGCCGCCGCCGUAACAC